GUGAUUCGCCUGCUUGGAUCGCACUCCUCUUCAUGUUUCCCGCGCAAUUCGGACAGGUCGGACAAUAUGCAUCGGGCUUUCCACACCGGUAGCAGAAAAGUCGCCUCUCCGAUGCCAUACAGUCCCUAAAGCCAUGAUCGGUCUGCCCGCAUUUCCAGCAAAUCGACUUCUGUGGAACACGCUGUUUCACUUGGGCUUCCUCAAUGACUUCUGCCUCUUCAUCGCUAAUCGACCGAUCCUGCGCGACCUCGCUGACGUUCGCAUUCGCCCCGCGGCCAUAGUUUGUGGCUUUGGGUGCUCCUCGCCACGAAGAUCGAGCCUUCCUCUUCAGAUGUGCCUCUAUUUCCACGCACUCAUCCCGCAGUUGGUCUAAGGAAUAAACCCGUGGUGGCAUCUCCAAGCUCGAAGCGAUCUUUCUCAUGACAUGGAAGAAGUCUUCCCCACUCUCGUUUGACCGCUGCAUUCUCUCUCGCAGUUCUCUCAUGCGGUCGAACUCGGACGCCGUGCCUCGGAAACUUCGCCCCUUAGUUCCUGCCAAACACCACCGCUCUGGUCGCGGAUGUACAGCCAGUACCAUUCCCACGUGUUUCCUGUAACCAGGUGAUGAAACCCCUUAAGAACUUCAUCCCACGGACAGCGGCAUUGGGCUUGUAGGAAUUCAAUUCGGAACACAAAAUCCUCGACCGUCAUUUUGUUGCUGUCUCCGUCGAACCUCACGUCCCAUUUUUCGACUCGGCCCCACCGUGGCCAAGGUCUAUAACCCGGGGGAUUUGGAUGCGGAUCUUCUCGAGGAAUCCCACCAGCUCUCCUACUCUCGCCACGACCCUGACCCGAGUGUCUGAGUGCUAUCGGGUUUCGCCAAUUUCGCGCUUGAUGCCCACCCCGUUGAUGCUGCUCACUGGAUGCGGUCGGUCCUACUCCUGAAUACGGUUCCGGACCAAUACCACCUCGCCCCGAGCGAGCCAAAAGUGGUUUUGGUGGCGGAAUCGGCGCAUCAGUCGUGCUAGACGGCUUCCUUUUCGGGAUUGCUCCUCGAUACUCCUGCUCGCGGUGAACCUCCUCCCGCUGCGGUUCAUUCUGCUGCUGCAGCUGUCUAACCGGCUGGAGUACCUCGUUGAGUUGGUGCAUCAUCUCGAUAAACCUCUUUCGCAACUCCUCCUGCAACACCCGACUAAUCGAUUCAGUGUUCGCUGCCCUGUGUGUCGCAUGAGCCUGAGCCAACGAUACGUUGACUGCUGAUGCCAGUUCGGAAGCUAGCGUGGGUGUAGGAUCGGACAUUGGCCAUUCUUCUGACCUGGCCUGGACCGGUGUUCUCGGCAACCCACCCACAGUUCCAAGCUCCUCCCGAUCUUGAUCAAACAUCGCCCCUGACACUUCUCCUAUCUGGUCCACUGUUUUGUUUACGCGUGAUCGCGUAUGAUACUGUCGACUACCCCCUUCUUGUGGCAUCUGCACCGAG